rnacentral:rRNA from 1 species
UACAGAGGGGGCAAGCGUUAUUCGGAAUUAUUGGGCGUAAAGGGCGCGUAGGCGGCUUCGCAAGUGGAAGGUGAAAUCCCUCGGCUUAACCGAGGAACUGCCCUCCAAACUGCGUGGCUUGAGUCCGGGAGAGGUGAGUGGAAUUCCCAGUGUAGCGGUGAAAUGCGUAGAUAUUGGGAGGAACACCAGUGGCGAAGGCGGCUCACUGGACCGGUACUGACGCUGAUGCGCGAAAGCGUGGGGAGCAAACGGG